rnacentral:rRNA from 1 species
AGGAUGAACGCUGGCGGCGUGCUUAACACAUGCAAGUCGAACGGUGAAGGCUGGAGCUUGCUCUGGCUGGAUUAGUGGCGAACGGGUGAGUAACACGUGAGUAACCUGCCCCAGACUCUGGGAUGAGCGCUGGAAACGGCGUCUAAUACCGGAUACGAGCUUCCACCGCAUGGUGAGGAGCUGGAAAGAAUUUCGGUCCGGGAUGGACUCGCGGCCUAUCAGCUUGUUGGUGAGGUAAUGGCUCACCAAGGCGACGACGGGUAGCCGGCCUGAGAGGGUGACCGGCCACACGUGGGACUGAGACGACGGCCCAGACUCCUACGGGAGGCAGCAGUGGGGAAUAGUUGCACAAGUGGGC